rnacentral:rRNA from 1 species
GACAAACGCUGGCGGCAUGCCUAACACAUGCAAGUCGAACGGACAGAACAGGGAAGCUCUUCGGAGUGGAACUGGAAAGUUAGUGGCGGAUGGGUGAGUGACGCGUGGACAACCUACCUUGUAAAGGGGAAUAACUUCGAGAAAUCGAAGCUAAUACCCCAUAAUAACCUUGCUUCGCAUGAAGCGAGGAGGAAAGGCGGCCUUAGAGCUGUCGAUAGAAGAUGGGUCCGCGUCUGAUUAGCUAGUUGGUGAGGUAAAGGCUCACCAAGGCGACGAUCAGUAGCCGGCCUGAGAGGGUGAACGGCCACAUUGGGACUGAGACACGGCCCAAACUCCUACGGGAGGCAGCAGUGGGGAAUCUUCCGCAAUGGGCGAAAGCCUGACGGAGCAAUGCCGCGUGAGUGAAGAAGGCCUUCGGGUUGUAAAACUCUGUCCUAGACGAAGAGAGAGUAUUGUAGUAACUGACAAUACUAGGACGGUAGACUAGGAGGAAGCCCCGGCUAACUAUGUGCCAGCAGCCGCGGUAAAACAUAGGGGGCAAGCGUUGUCCGGAAUCACUGGGCGUAAAGGGCGCGCAGGCGGUAAAUUAAGUCAGGUGUGAAAGUUCGGGGCUCAACCCCGUGAUUGCACCUGAUACUGAUAAACUAGAGUGUUGGAGAGGUAAGUGGAAUUCCUAGUGUAGCGGUGGAAUGCGUAGAUAUUAGGAGGAACACCAGUGGCGAAGGCGACUUACUGGCCAAUAACUGACGCUAAGGCGCGAAAGCGUGGGGAGCAAACAGG